CAACUACGGAUGCUAGAAAGCAGCGGUGGUCCCUAUAAAUUUUUGACUAAAGUUAUUUUGAACCUAGAAGUCAGCCAAGGGAGAGGACAAAAUCAAGAUAUCUUUGGACCUGCCAAGACCCAGAAAUUUCACUUGAAAACUUACCUGAGGAUACAGGCCAGCAAGGAUCUGUGGAAAUAAACAUCAACCAAACAGGAGUGAGCAGAGUAUUUAUUGGAGCCUUCUGUAAUGAGCCACUAAUAGAUUUAUUUUGGUCAGAGACUAAAAAAAAAAAAAAGGAGAAAAGGAGGAAAGCUUUAUAGUGGAGAAAAGAUGAUUCUGGGUGCACCCUGACUAGAGGUCGUGGGCAGAGGGGAGCCGCUGGUAGAUGGCUGAAGGAGGCAUCCUGUAGGUUUGGUUAGAGGUACACAUUUGGCUUUUCUCUAUUUGGUUCCAAAUUGCAAGUGGGGACAAAAGUUAGUGGUGCUGUCAGAUAUUAAUUAAGUCCUGGAUGCUUGGGGCCUAUUGUUAUCAUAAGGCUUCCUGGACUGGUUGCUAGAGAUAAUGGUCUGACUUCCCACAAGUCUGACUUAUCAACGUUUAAGUUAAUUUCCUGGGCUGUUUACUGUGGAUAACAGAUUGGUCUCCUGGGUUGGUUGCUGAAGCUUGUAAAUCAGAGUUCUGUUAUUUUGUAGGGUCCGACCAUUCCUUGUUUAGAUAGUCUCUCAAACCUAAGAAAGAGAUGGGAUCCAACAAACGGUGGACUAAUGAGUACACUGAAAAAGUUCACAAUGGCACAGUUGGGAAGAAUUCUGUUCCCAAGUGGCCAUUUUCCAAGUAGAAUCACUAAGAAAUGGGGUGUGCAAAUAAUGUGGUAAAGGUAUGUCAACAAGAAAAUAGUCAUAUGCAAUUAGAAAUCCCAGAUGUUGAUGGAAGCCCAGAUAUUAAAUAAAUGAAACUUAGACCAUUUUGAAGAACCAAUAGCCAUACAUCAGAAAUCCAUCUGACUUUGGUGCAUGAAACAAUCUCCUUUGAGCAGCAAAGACUUUGUGACACAGGACUCCAUCUCCUUCUCCAUAAAGCCAAAUGCUCUUCUCAUUCUUCAGUGAAUAUUUUUUUAUUUUUUUAGGAAAUCACAGUACUAUUAAAGCUAUGCAUUGAUUUUCAAUUUUCAACAUCAACUUCUAUGUAAACAAAGCGUGAAAGGAUUAAUUAUGUCUACAAUGUGACAUGGAACUAAUCUCCACUAUGAGAGUGUCAAAGUCAGCCCCCACCAAUUGGGAGGAAGAGAAAGAAGGCCAUGUGGUGCUCAUGUCCUGCAACGUGUAGAAAAGCAUGAAAGACUAAAUUCAUAAAUCAAGGAAUGAAGGUUUGGAAAUCAAAGUUUCAAACUCUUUGGAAAUGAACUUCUAACAAUAUAAAUUAUCACCCUGGUUCUGGUUUAAUAUGAGCCAAAUAAAGAAGUCAGAUUUAAAGAUAACCUGAGAGACGUUUAGACUUUGACCUUUUGGUGUUGAUGACUUUGAAAAUCAGCAGAGUGAAUCUUCAUUCAAAUAAGUUCCUCCUUCCCAAAGUGGAUGCUAUACUGUCAGUUGGAUUUCUGUUCCUGUGAAUUAAAUACCUGACAACUUA